CAGCCGCCGCGGUAAUACGAAGGGGGCUAGCGUUGUUCGGAUUUACUGGGCGUAAAGCGCACGUAGGCGGACUUUUAAGUCAGGGGUGAAAUCCCGGGGCUCAACCCCGGAACUGCCUUUGAUACUGGAAGUCUUGAGUAUGGUAUAGGUGAGUGGAAUUCCGAGUGUAGAGGUGAAAUUCGUAGAUAUUCGGAGGAACACCAGUGGCGAAGGCGGCUCACUGGACCAUUACUGACGCUGAGGUGCGAAAGCGUGGGGAGCAAACAGGAUUAGAUACCCGAGUAGUCCCUGUCUCUUAUAC
rnacentral:rRNA from 1 species